GCGAGGGUACCCGAGCCAGGUCAAAGGGGCGGGACUUAAGAUCCCGUAGCGUAGGCUUACGAGGGUUCAAAUCCCUCCCCUCGCA
rnacentral:tRNA from 1 species